UGGGGAAUCUUAGACAAUGGGGGCAACCCUGAUCUAGCCAUGCCGCGUGAGUGAUGAAGGCCUUAGGGUCGUAAAGCUCUUUCGCCAGGGAUGAUAAUGACAGUACCUGGUAAAGAAACCCCGGCUAACUCCGUGCCAGCAGCCGCGGUAAUACGGAGGGGGUUAGCGUUGUUCGGAAUUACUGGGCGUAAAGCGCGCGUAGGCGGGUUGUUAAGUUAGAGGUGAAAUCCCGGGGCUCAACCCCGGAACUGCCUUUAAUACUGGCAACCUAGAGUUCGAGAGAGGUGAGUGGAAUUCCGAGUGUAGAGGUGAAAUUCGUAGAUAUUCGGAGGAACACCAGUGGCGAAGGCGGCUCACUGGCUCGAUACUGACGCUGAGGUGCGAAAGUGUGGGGAGCAAACAGG
rnacentral:rRNA from 1 species